GAUGAACGCUGGCGGCGUGCUUAACACAUGCAAGUCGAACGGAAAGGCCCAAGCUUGCUUGGGUACUCGAGUGGCGAACGGGUGAGUAACACGUGGGUGAUCUGCCCUGCACUUCGGGAUAAGCCUGGGAAACUGGGUCUAAUACCGGAUAGGACCACAUUUUGGAUGGUGUGGUGGAAAGUUUUUCGGUGGGGGAUGAGCUCGCGGCCUAUCAGCUUGUUGGUGGGGUAAUGGCCUACCAAGGCGUCGACGGGUAGCCGGCCUGAGAGGGUGUACGGCCACAUUGGGACUGAGAUACGGCCCAGACUCCUACGGGAGGCAGCAGUGGGGAAUAUUGCACAAUGGGCGCAAGCCUGAUGCAGCGACGCCGCGUGGGGGAUGACGGACUUCGGGUUGUAAACUCCUUUCGCUAGGGACGAAGCGUUAUGUGACGGUACCUGGAGAAGAAGCACCGGCUAACUACGUG
rnacentral:rRNA from 1 species